UCCAAACUUCCGCCUCUAUCUCUCCAGCUCUCUCUUCUCUCUCUCUACAAACACCUCCGAAUCUCGAUCUCCCCCCUCUUCUCCGAUCUCUCCUUUGGCAAUCGACCACCAAAACCACCACCCCAUCGCUCCGAGUCCUCGUCGCCAGGCCGCCAUCUCCGAAGAACAACCUUCGCCGUCGCCUCUUCCUUCUCCUCCAUACGCGCCGCCAACGCCUACCCCAGGAGAGUCCAGCCGUUGCUCCGAUGGCCAUCCCCCUCCCUUCUUGUCCUCCACCGGCGAACAGCGCCACCAGUGGCGCCGCCAUCGACGGAAAUGGCCAGCCAAGCCUCCACGCCGUCGCUCCAUCCUUCGUCCUCUAGUCUCCUUCUUUCUCCCCUCUGGCGAACGUCCAACAGCCGCGACACAGCCUCGACUCCUCCCCCCACAGCGAUACCUCCGACAAACCCCUUCGGCAUUCCAACCAUGCAACCCUUCCUCAUCGAAAAUGAUGAAUUCUGAGAGAAUCCAUCUUCAAGUUUGAUCCCGUGUUUGAAAUAUGUUUGUGAACUUUAGUACUAUUUCUUCAUCUGUGUCUCUCAUAGAAAGAUUCUUCGAAUCGAGUGUGGCCACGUUUGAUUUUAGCUGAAUAAAUGUGUUGAUUUUAAGUCUGUGAUUUUUAUUCAACCCUAUUUGCAUGUCCUGCUUGAUUGAAAUUUCGUGACUCUUAACUUGAAUGGUGAGUCAAUUUGUUCGUCUCUCUAUGGUAUAUGUAAACACGCCUAACUUCUUGUAACUUCACAUUUUUUAUGCCUCUUAGUUAAUAUGGGUAAGAAAAUCCCAACUUUUGUGACUUGGUUUUAACUUUCUGACUGGAUACUCAUUACUAAUCACUUUAGAUUGUUGCUUGCUAAUACUGACUAUUUUUUUGGCAUGUUUUAUGAUUUUGUAAUCGCCUUAUUGUAAUUGUGGCACUACUAUCGUGUUAAACGAAUGAUUAUUUUCCUUUGUGAUGGGUUUUACAAUUCUUGACUCUGCCUAAUUGAGAAUUUACAGUUGAUUGAUUUAUAUACUAUCUUUAAUUGAGAGACGUGGCUGAUUACUUUAACAAUGAUUUAUGGUAAGUAAUUACUUUUGAUUGAGUCUUGUGUCAAUUUUCUUUUAAAAAUUAAGUACUAUUAAUUAUCGUUUGCCUUGAUUGUGUGAUCACUAUAUGGUAGUUCUUCUUUUAUUUGGUAAACAAAUAAUUUGUAUGACUGAUUUGCUUAAUCGAUCUUUCCUUUAUUGGAUUUGACUGAAUUUUGUGUGACUUUAUAUUUCCCUUAAUUAGCAUAUAAUCUGAAAAGGAAACUUGUGUAUGUUUGAUAUAUUCUUUCACUUUAAUUGAUUUCCCACAAGUAUUAAUGGGAAGACCCUUACUAAUAUCAGUCUAGUUAGUUUCUGCUUAAUUUAAUUUUGUAUGGGAAAAGCAUGUAUGUGACGAUUCGAGGAUUUAUUCGUAAAUCUUUAAUAAGGCUAAUAUGUGCACGUUUUGAUUGUUUGGGUAUGAUCCUGUACCAAUUUGAUUUGAGAAAAGCGUCUCAGUAAUUGAUUUUUGAUUUUUCUUGCCUUGGUUGACAGACAUCCUCUCACACGUUAAUUAUGGUAAAUUUAGAUACCUCUUCUUGAUUUCAUUUAAUAAGUAAGAAGGAUCUCUUUUUACUUGUUCUAUUCAUGGAAAUUUCAAAUGUUAUAAUUUGACAUACCUUUGUUUAUUUAUUUAUGGCAACUAUAGUAUGAUUGGUGGAACAAAUUGAUCUACCCCCAUCCAUUUAAGGGAACAAUCCCCUUAAUUGAUUCAUUAUAUGUUAUUCUUCCUUCAUUAAAUAUUAUUCUUCCUAAACGCACCAUUCUCUUUCUCUAAGAGGACCGCUAUUACUCUCUCUAUUUUCUCUUAAAAGUACUUUGAAGUUCUUUGAUACUUUGGAUUUCGAGAAACAUUCGGUUUUGUCCUUGCCGCAAUUGCUUUGGGUUCUAUUAUUAUUGUUUGGUGCCUAAUCGGUUAGUCUCUAUCGACGCAUUCUUUUCUUAUUCUGUAGCAUUUGUGAUAGCAAAGCAAAGAAAACAUGUUUAUAGGAACUAAUUUAAAAUAAUUAUGUUGUGCUUGCUUGCUAUGCCUGUGUUUCUUUGUUCCUCUAUAUAAGACAAUGUGUUGGUAUAGUCAAGUAUUCCUUCUGUGCUUGUACCAGUCUUUUGCUUGUAUGUGACAGGUAUUAAGUGGUAUUGGAAUAGUCGCCGGGGACUUGGGAGUGGUUGCUUCUUUCUUUCUUUGUUUAGUCUCAUAGCUUCAUUUUAUUUAUUCAUUGGUCUGUACUGUAUAAACCUCACUGAUGUAAUGGUAAUUAUUGGGACUGCUUGGGGGCGGGGAUUUAUGUGCUCUAUGAAUCGCGUAGGCAAACACAACCUUAGUUUGUCCAUUCUUUGUUAUCCUACGCAUCAAAACUUGUCCCAUUUACCCUCACAAGAAGAGUCUCUUCCUUACACUGUGAAUAAAGCAAGUGAUGAGCCGUUUUCAUCACUUACAGCUUUAUUUUCUGCUAAUCUUAUUCUUUCUCUAAACAGUAGAAGGUUUCACUUCCUGGGGUUACUCAAUAGCCUAAAGAAAGGAUUUUUAUUCUAUUUUUUGCGUGAGUAAGUUAGCAUGUGCCUCUAGUGUACAAAUGAUUUUGCAUUUUUCACUGUCAUAAAGAAGAUUAAAAAACGAAAAGAAUAGCUGACUAGAGUGUACUAUAACCAUUUCUAGCUGUUUUCUUGAACAGUAGCACAUUUGGUGUAAGUUGAAGACAUUCUGGGUAUUGAUGUUUGUAUUUUCUUGUCCUGUGUUUACUUUGUUUGACUGUGGUUUCUUGUGAAGGUUUUGUCAAAAUUGAACACAGCUCAGGGUUUUACUUUUCAUAGCUAGUUUCUACUUUCUUUCUGAUAUUUUGUUGGGUUUUUGCUUUGUUUCUUGCAUGAAAAUGUAAGUUUUUUUUCCCCAUUUUCUUUUUUUAGGCCAAGGAAGGUGAGUGAUGUGGUGGGCAGAGGGGCCAGUGGGGGUCUUUUUUUUUAAUUCUUUCCAAAUUAAUGUGAAGAUAAUGUUUGAUAGAAUCUUAUUGGGAAGACAAAGUGUGUGAAUCACAUUCAGCAGAGUGGGAGAAAAGGUGAAGAAAUUUAAGAGAGGAUUUUGAAGGAUGAAUGUUAGCUCAGCCAGAGAAAUGAAUGAUAGUUUAGCCGCUAUUACUGAGAGAAAACCUCAAAGGCCUUGUGGUUGUGUGGGCAUUUUCUUUCAGCUCUUUGAUCGGAACCGUAGAUUUGCCAAGAAGCUAUUUCCAAAGAAACUGCUUUCACCAGCUCGCUUGAAACAAGCUUCAAAAAAGUUUGGAGGGGAUGAGAAGCAGCCAAAACUUUGUUUGAUUGCUAAUGAGAACAGUGGGGGUUUUCCAAAUGAAAAGAAUAAUGGAAUGACCAAUACACAUUGUGAAAGCAAGAGCGAAAUGAAAGCUCCAAGUUUGGUUGCUAGGCUCAUGGGUUUGGAAUCGAUGCCAGCAGGAUCAGGCAGUAAGCCCCAAAAGGCUUCGGCUUCUGAAACUUGGAGCAAUGUGGCAAACAAACUUGGUGCUCGACCUGGUGGAUCUGAUAAAUAAGAUAUGGAUUUGGAGAUGGCUGAAAUAAAGAGUUUAGAACCUGGUUUGCGAAGGUUUAGAGCACCUCAUCAUUUGGAAAGCCCUAAUCCUUGUGUGGAUUCAAAGAUUUUGAAAGGGACAUCUGUGCCUUCAUGUAAAAAUUGUGGUUAUUUUCCAAAUGUGGAAGAGUACUCAUCGUCUGUCUCAUCACCUGUCUCUAGUUACUCUGGACCUCCUUGUGAAGGUCCAGGAAGAAAUAUGCCAAGGUUGCCCAUUUUCAGCAGCAGGGAUCAACUAGAGACCCUAGAGAGAGUUCUUGAGGGUUCGUCCUCAGACGCCACUGUUGAAAUCGAUGAUGUAUCAUAUUGUGCAGAACUCAUAUUGGGCAAAAGAUCUACUAGAAGAACUCGAAUGGAGAUGCAUGGCACCCGCCAAGGGAACAAUGUGAAGAAGGAUGCAUCAUCUGUCACUCAUGUGGUUAAUCAGAAGCAAAAUCAAACAUCUCAGAAUAGUGAGAGAGGUCUUAUGAAGUCUAAGCCAAGUAGUUUGCAGAGCAACAGAGUUUUAGUAGCUGCAGAAUCUAUGAAUAAUACCCAAAAUUUUGUUGCACAGAAUAAAAGGCUUAGCAGGAAAGAAGAUUUGUGUGAUGAUGGUGAUGUAUCUUCUGGAAAUACUUGCAUGAAUUUCUAGGCCAUACCAGAUUCAGCAGCAAUAGAUUUAGUUGGGAAUUCACUUGAUCACCAUAGUUCAGGAUGUGUUCUUGAAGCUGCCCUUUCAACUGACAACUACCUCUCCUGCAGUCCCAAUAGUAGCUCAAAGGGCAAAGCGCUUGCUGAAUCAGUGGACUCUGUUGAUGAUGAACCACUCUUUCCAGAACCUGAUAGAGAUCUUUCGGAUUGUGAGGCCUCAUCAUCCACCAGGAGGAGUUGCAGAGAACUGAUCAUAGACCAUUUUAAUAAAAGAAAGCAAACACAGUUACGCAAAACAGGUUAUUUUGAAUACAGAACUCAUAUUUGGAACUACACCUCAACAGCAGGCUCUACCUGUAGAGGAUGGGUUCUCUGUGAGACAUUUUCUCCUCAAUGAACAUGAAAUGUUUUCGAGUCUUCUGUGGAUGACUUUUGGUCAGUUGCUUGGCUAUAACGACCCAAAACAGAUGAAUCAGCUUAAAGGAUUCACCUUUGAUUGUCUAUUAGAGUACCUAGACUCAAAAUUUGGUUGAUACUCUGAUUCUGGUUUCAGAACCCGUACCAAACUACCAUUAGGUAUGACCAAAGAGAUUCUGAUUGCUGAUAUUAUUGACGAGGUCGAAGAGUGGACAGAAUUUGUUGGUUUGAUCCCAGAAGAGCUAACAGAAUGGGAUAUGAGCCAUUCUUUUAGAAUAAAGGGUCGAGAUUACUCAAGUUUGAAAGAAUCGCAAGAGUCGUGAUGAUGCCCCGUGGCAAGGUGGUUAUAUACACACUUCAUUGGAGAAAGAAGAGCAUAACUGAAAUGUGAUCGACUCAUUCAUGGAGUUCUCUAUAAAUUUGUUUUCUCUUCAUAGAUAGGAUUUUCUCGUUAUUUUAAGUUUCAUUUUCUUAUUUUUUGAUAUAAACAGAAAAUUUCUCAAAAAAUACUGUGUUGGUUGUUUGGUUA